rnacentral:rRNA from 1 species
UACGUAGGGUGCGAGCGUUGUCCGGAAUUAUUGGGCGUAAAGAGCUCGUAGGCGGUUUGUCGCGUCGGCCGUGAAAUCUCCACGCUUAACGUGGAGCGUGCGGUCGAUACGGGCAGACUUGAGUUCGGUAGGGGAGACUGGAAUUCCUGGUGUAGCGGUGAAAUGCGCAGAUAUCAGGAGGAACACCGGUGGCGAAGGCGGGUCUCUGGGCCGAUACUGACGCUGAGGAGCGAAAGCCAGGGGAGCAAACGGG